UACGAAGGGGGGCUAGCGUUGCUCGGAAUCACUGGGCGUAAAGCGCACGUAGGCGGAUCUUUAAGUCAGGGGUGAAAUCCUGGAGCUCAACUCCAGAACUGCCUUUGAUACUGGGGAUCUCGAGUCCGGAAGAGGUGAGUGGAACUCCGAGUGUAGAGGUGAAAUUCGUAGAUAUUCGGAAGAACACCAGUGGCGAGGGCGGCUCACUGGUCCGGUACUGACGCUGAGGUGCGAAAGCGUGGGGAGCAAACAGG
rnacentral:rRNA from 1 species